GUAACGACGACGCAACCCUUGUCCUUAGUUACCAGCACGUUAUGGUGGGCGACUCUAAGGAGACUGCCGGUGCAAACCGGAGGAAGGUGGGGAUGACGUCAAGUCAUCAUGGCCCUUACGGCCUGGGCUACACACGUGCUACAAUGGUCGGUACAAAGGGUUGCCAAGCCGCGAGGUGGAGCUAAUCCCCAUAAAACCGAUCGUAGUCCGGAUCGCAGUCUGCAACUCGACUGCGUGAAGUCGGAAUCGCUAGUAAUCGUGAAUCAGAAUGUCACGGUGAAUACGUUCCCGGGCCUU
rnacentral:rRNA from 1 species